UACAGAGGUCCCAAGCGUUGUUCGGAUUCAUUGGGCGUAAAGGGUGCGUAGGCGGCGCGGUAAGUCGGGUGUGAAAUCUCGGAGCUUAACUCCGAAACUGCAUUCGAUACUGCGGCGCUUGAGGACUGGAGAGGAGACUGGAAUUCAUGGUGUAGCAGUGAAAUGCGUAGAGAUCAUGAGGAAGACCAGUGGCGAAGGCGGGUCUCUGGACAGUUCCUGACACUGAGGCACGAAGGCCAGGGGAGCAAACGGG
rnacentral:rRNA from 1 species